rnacentral:rRNA from 1 species
UACGUAGGGUGCAAGCGUUAAUCGGAAUUACUGGGCGUAAAGCGUGCGCAGGCGGUUGGGCAAGUCAGAUGUGAAAUCCCCGGGCUUAACCUGGGAACUGCAUUUGUGACUGCCCGGCUAGAGUGUGUCAGAGGGGGGUAGAAUUCCACGUGUAGCAGUGAAAUGCGUAGAUAUGUGGAGGAAUACCGAUGGCGAAGGCAGCCCCCUGGGAUAACACUGACGCUCAUGCACGAAAGCGUGGGGAGCAAACAGG